AGAAAUAAAAAUUUAUUUACAAAAAUGCAAAAAACAGUUCUUGGAAAAAAAUAAUAUUAAAAUAAUGUUCUUUUAGAUGCUUAACGCAGACAGAUGGUCUUUGUGCAGUAGGAAAUUUUAUUGGACGACAGCGGAACAACUGCAAUGUACGGCAUUGCGCACAAUGUUACACAAGCGAUGAUUGCGGCAGUUGUGAGACAUGUACUAACAAUCGAUGCGACUACUACUGUAGUCGCAGUAAUGGCGACUUUGAAAGCUUUUCAGAUUUUACAUAAACUCCACAAUAGUUUUUGUUAUGUCUCAUAUGUUGAGUUUUAAACUUUUCAUGAUUUACAUCUUUCCUAAAAGUAUGAGCAAGAAGCAUGUACAGUUUGUUAGCAAAAGCAAUUCAAAGUUAAAAAUACCUUUGUUUCUAUAUCAAGCCCCGAAUCGAACUAUCUUUAGACUUGAACCCAAGUUGACCGAUUGUUCAGGUCAAAUCUUCCUUACUUUUUAUUAUUAAAGAAACAUUACAUUAAAUCAAGUUAACACCAAGGAAAAAAAUAAUUGUCGUCAAUGAAUAUUAUAAAUAUAAAUAUAAAUAAGACUGAUAAUUGUAAUGGCAUCAGUUCCAUCAGAAUAUCCAUGGGAUAUACAAAAUGGUUACCUAACCCUAGGAUCAACCGUGCUCCUUGACCUUGUCAGUCUGGCUGCAUUCCUCUCUUCCCUGCUCCUUGCUGUGGAGUCGAAUGAACUAACUACUAAUCUCAUGUUUCUCUUGUUCUUCCGUUUUUCCAUGUUUCAAUAAAUCUUUGAUUUUGCCU